GACGAACGCUGGCGGCGUGCUUAACACAUGCAAGUCGAACGGAAAGGCCCUGCUUUUGUGGGGUGCUCGAGUGGCGAACGGGUGAGUAACACGUGAGUAACCUGCCCUUGACUUUGGGAUAACUUCAGGAAACUGGGGCUAAUACCGGAUAGGAGCUCCUGCUGCAUGGUGGGGGUUGGAAAGUUUCGGCGGUUGGGGAUGGACUCGCGGCUUAUCAGCUUGUUGGUGGGGUAGUGGCUUACCAAGGCUUUGACGGGUAGGCGGCCUGGGAGGGUGACCGGCCACAUUGGGACUGAGAUACGGCCCAGACUCCUACGGGAGGCAGCAGUGGGGAAUAUUGCACAAUGGGCGGAAGCCUGAUGCAGCAACGCCGCGUGCGGGAUGACGGCCUUCGAGUUGUAAACCGCUUUCGCCUGUGACGAAGCGUGAGUGACGGUAAUGGGUAAAGAAGCACCGGCUAACUACGUG
rnacentral:rRNA from 1 species